AAAACGAGGGCUUUCUAUAGGGAAAACGGUACUAUUUAUUCUGCCAUAGGCGACAAUACUAACAAUUCCUAAAUUUACCACUUUUUAUAAUAAAAACCUGGAUAAAACAGUUAUGUGUGGUGUUAGUACUUUAUUAUUCUAUUUUAAAAAUUAAAGCCAAAUAGUAUCAUGACCAAUUUCCAACGGAGCUUGUUUAUGUUAUCCAUGCCCACCGUCAUUUUACAACAAUUUUUUGAAAUUUUGGAAGCC
rnacentral:lncRNA from 1 species